CGAUUUAGAUCUCUCCACACUCCUGAGAAUUUGUUUCGUUUUUUGUGUGUGUAUGAACUGUCAGUGGAAGGAUUUAGGAGGGUUGGAGGUGAGCGCCCAUCUCCUUGGCUAUUGGUGACAUGUAGCUGAUAGGGAACACACUUGUUGGGCAGGUCGCCGGCUCACAGCCAAGCUCGAGUUCAUGGUAGGUGACCUGGCUCUGCUGCUAAGCCCCCUCCUCUUUCUGGACUGGCAUGAUCUGUUCUCCUGUAUUUGGAUUUGAGGUGAAGAUUUUUAUCUCUGCUGCUGCUUUCGGGGUUGUGCAGGAUUGGAUACAGCAUGGUCAAUCUCUACUUUUUUUUCCAUGUCCAUCAUGUUGUUUUAAAAUUAUUGCCACAUUUGCCUUGCAAUUAAGUCAAAACUAAGAAAGAACAUUUGUGUAGAAAAGUUAAAUUCCACUUGAUGGUGAAAAUUUCAGAAAAAAAUUGCAUCUACUUAUUUGUUAUUAUGUCCACGAGAAAUGAUUUUUUAUGCCUCCAUGGCGAGUGUCAGUGGAUACAUCUGCUCGCCGGCGCAUUCCUGACUCCAUGGUGAGCGGAAGUGGUGGCAUUAUGUCAUUUGCGUUUCAGAUUAUCAGGCUGAAGAAGCUACAGAAUCAGCUUUUAAGGAUGGAAAAUGACUAUUGCUGAUGGCGAGGGUGCAAUUGAGAUGACAGGAACAUGCUUCUCAUUACAGAAUUUUGUGAUCACUUUGUACCUACAGAGAAAGCGACCCAGACAAAAAAUUGUCAGCUGCAUUUAUAUAGUAAUCGGUGAGUGAGGAUCGCUGUAUGGCGGCCGUGAUACAUCGGCGAAUUUCACCCGCGCUUUCUCUAUUUGCAGCACAACUUGGCAGAGGGUUUGCUGCAGCACUGCUGGACGUCGAGAUAGUUUUAGUUUGGCUGGUUCAGACCUGAUCCAUUGCCUCCUUCAUGCUCCAGACUAAGCUCUUCAUCAAGCAGAUAUGAUGCCAUUGGCCAGCAUGACGUUCCAGUACCUUAUGGGUGAGGAAAAGUGAUAUAAAGAUCUAUCCAGAUGAUGGCAUUCGAAGGAGUCCGGGUGUCCCAACCACAGCAAGAGGAGGAGGAUGCCGUGCGGCGGGAUUGAGGCCAUUCCCCCUUUGAUUUCUUGAUCCCCAGUCUGCUUUAAUUUGGGUCCUGUUUUUAGGUUUGAUUGUUGGUGAUGUGGGUUGGUUACCACAUCAACAUGGUUGCUUCCUCGUGGGAACUAUCGAGCACCACCACGCCUCCCUCCCAUCAAGCACCACUAAGGCAGCAAGGUACAUCUCCCAAUUUUUUCUGCAGAUUUGUAUUUUUGGUAAGGUAAAGAGCAGGGGUUUGUAGGCAGAGUAAAGUGGUUGUUUCCAAAGAAAACACAUCAAUAGCUGUAGUUGAGAGGAUUGAGCUUUAAUUGGUUGUAGUUUUUUUGACAUUGGAAUGGUCACGUCAAGCUGCUCAUUGCUAAUCCACAUUUGUAGUUGCCUAAUUUACCAGUUUCUACUUUUGAUGUUGAUUUACAAAACUGCAGCCGAUGCCUUACAGGCGACAGUCUGAAUAUAAGAAUUGGUCUGAGUUCUAUUGGCUUGGUUUUCUGUCAUAUCUAACUUGUAAAGUAAUAUCGAAGUACUGGUUUAUUAAGUGUAGUGUAUCAUUGUGCAGUCAUAGUUGUAAAUGCUGAUUGUAUCAUUUAAUAAUCCCCAUGCCACAGAAUAGAAGGACUGCUCAAUCCAUUAUUCUUUUAGUUUUGGAUAUCGUAAAUCCUUUAAUUAAUAGAUCUAAUUCUGCGUGUACAGGACCUUUCAGUAAACAUGUGUUUUGUUCAUAUAAAUUCAGUUUAAUGGUGUAAAUUGUGAUUUCUAUUAGAAGCUCUGAAUACUAAACAUAGAAGCUCUGAAGUGUCCAUGAAUAUAUGUACCUUUUUUAUUUAUUUUGUUACUUUGUAGCAUCAUUGAGAUGUAACUAUUGUUGUUGAACAAAUAAGCAAAGACAAUAAUAUAUACUGAAUAUGAGUAGAAUGCAAAACAUGGAGACUUGCAUCUAAUUGCUCCACGGCAUGUAUCUUUCCUUUGCAUAGCUAGGGUGCUUAGGCUCCCUCUUAGGCGUCAGACUGGGGGUAGAACUUCUUAGGCCGUAUUACUGCCUUAAAAACCUUGAAAUAUAAUUGUUAAUGCCAUUACCUGUCGUUAC